CAUUAACGUAUUUUUCAGGACAAAUAACUAUUUUCUAAAAUGAAAAAAUUUAAGAGUGGUACCACUGUAUGUUUUCACAGUUCUCUUUAAUGGUUUACUGGGACUUCCCUGGUAGCGCAGUGGAUAAGACUCUGCUCUCCCAAUGCAGGGGGCCUGCGUUUGAUCCCUGGUCAGGGAACUAGAUCCCAUAUGCAUGCUGCAACUAAGGGUUUGCAUGCCACAACUAAGAGUUCACAUGCCGCAACUAAAAGUUCUCAUGCUACAACUAAGGAGCCCGCCCACUGCAACUAAGACCUGGUGCAACCAAAAUAAAUAAAUAUUUUUUAAAAAUGCUUCACUUAAGAGAAGACGGUUGGGUUCUCAUGUCUGCUUCUGCGUUCAAUCUGUUGAAGCCUCUGGAAAACUCCACUGUAGGUUUGCAAAAGGAAGAGGGUAAAUAAGGCAAGUAACACUUUCCAAUCUUGCAGAGUCUCUGAAAGAAUAGGUGUCUUAGAUCGUUCCUGAUGUGACCCCUGCACGGGCUCCUCAACCUGACGAAUGCCGCAGGAACCCAGCAAUCAGCCACAGGCCGAACACCAGGCCCAAGAGCUCAGUCCUGAGAGCUGUGAGCUGGAGCAGUGGGAACUAGGAGAGCGAGUGGGCCGAGAGCAGCUUCCUGGAAGACAUAUAAGAAACCUGGAAGCGAGGCAGCGUUCACCAUGAUGCAGUGAGGAGCCCAAGGCCCUGAGAGGUCAUAUGACUCACUCAAGGUCAUCCUGCCGUAGCAGAGAUGCGAUGAAGCCCUGCCUUUGGCUGAGGGAGUUCAAACGGACUUCCGCCCACGCCUGCUCCCCGCAUCGGCCUGUCAGAUGCCCACCUCAGAGGCCUGGUGGAGGCCGCGACCCCUGGAGGCUGGACCUUCCGAGGAGGCUCUGACCACCUUCACCAGGAAAGAAAGUUGAUGGGUGCCGUGAUGGAUGCGGUCCUGUCUUUAACUGAUUCCAUCCCGACAAUCACCUGAAGAGGAUCAGAGAGGUUUUAUAUCCAACCCCAUAUCACACAGCUACCGAGUGGUGAGACAGAUGUGAAACCCAUAUGUAUCCAUUUCUAGUUCUCAGCCUCUUUCUACAUCCUUAUGAAAACUCUUAAAUACGAAGUGCUAA